CCUACGGGUGGCAGCAGUAGGGAAUAUUGCUCAAUGGGGGAAACCCUGAAGCAGCAAAGCCGCGUGGAGGAUGAAGGUUUUCGGAUUGUAAACUCCUUUUGUUAGAGAAGAUAAUGACGGUAUCUAACGAAUAAGCACCGGCUAACUCCGGGACAGCAGCCGCGGUAAUACGGAGGGUGCAAGCGUUACUCGGAAUCACUGGGCGUAAAGAGCGCGUAGGCGGGAUAGAAAGUGAGAUGUGAAAAUCUAUGGCGUAACCAUAGAACUGCAUUUGAAACUGUUAUUCUUGAGUAUGGGAGAGGUAUGUGGAAUUCUUGGUGUAGGGGUAAAAUCCGUAGAGAUCAAGAGGAACACUCAUUGCGAAGGCGACCUGCUAGAACAUAACUGACGCUGAUGCGCGAAAGCGUGGGGAGCAAACAGGAUUAGAUACCCGUGUAGUC
rnacentral:rRNA from 1 species